UUUGAGGUGCUACUAUUAAGCUAUAAAAUACCAAAUGGGUGCAAACUUCUGACUGCAUAAAGAGUCAUGUUGAAAGCUUUUUUUCCUCUUAAUUAAAAAGAAGAGCAACGUCUUCACCAGUUUCAAUGAACUACUGACCUACAAUGUAGAUGUAAAGAUUGAUUGACAUUCUGAGAAACAACUGGAUCACUAAAGUCCUCUACUGUAGUCUGAUAUUAUAAAAUGAAGACAUUUAACUUGAAUAACCAGGUCAUUUUACACACCGUAGCAGAACAACAGUGGAAGGUAUUUGAUAACUAAAAAUGUUGUAAUACUUGGCACUAUGCCUGGUAGUACAGCGGUUAGCGCUGCCGCUCUGUAAUGAGAAGGUUGAGAGUUCGAGCCUGCCUGCUGACAAGAGAAAUAUCUGUUCAUCCUGAAAUGUUUUUCACUCAUACAUUGAAAAUGCAAAAUCUAAAGUAUUAACCUGUUCUCUCCACUAAGUGAUAAUAGUCGGUAUUCAAGAUUCCGCACAAUGAAGCCCG